rnacentral:rRNA from 1 species
AUGAGUUGCGCGGCGGUGUGUGCUCCCACCUCCGGUCUCGGCCGCCACCACGGCUUCCUCUCCUCCCCCUCGACUGUAUGCAGGCGACGAGGGAGAGCUUCCUACACUAUCCGGGCCUGUGCCAACUCCGGCGACGCGGAUGACAGCGGCGGAGGUCUCCUACCUCGGAUGGUGCUGCACGACUCCCUCGAUGCCGCGGGGGUCGUCACUGAUCACGCUAGGGCGGCGAGGGACGGGUUCGCGGUGCAGAUCGGGAGGCUCACGAGGCUCAACGCUGAGACCAGCAUCGCCAUCAGCCGCGGCGCCGAUCUCGCGCGGGCCGCGCUCUGUAUCGCGGCUGAGGACGACUCGCUCGUCUCCCACUCCUCUGUGCCGCUCCCCGUCGACGCCUUCAUUGCUCGCCUUGACGACCUUUCCACCGGGUUCCUCGCCGCGGGAUUCCUCCCGCCCUCCGGCGCGCCGCCCGAGGUCUUCUUCGACCACCUCGACCGCUACCUCUACGUCCACAAGGGCUUUCGAAGAACAAACGUAGCAUCAGAUGCUCGGGCUAUGUAUCUUCACUCGACUUUGACAUGCCGAUCAGGAUCAGCUCUAAUGCUUUCGUUGAUAUAUUCGGAGAUGCUAAAGACACUACGGUUAUAUGGCUUACUAGACUUCGAUGAGGAGAUCUACUUUCCACAUGAUCUCAAUGGCCGCCCUAGGGGCUAUGACAAACGAAGAAGCAAGUUUUGUGAUGAACCAAAUAUUAUGACAGCGAAGUCACUUUUGGUUGAGAUUUUACAAACUCUGAAGGGUAUGUUUUGGCCGUUCCAGUCUAAUCAGUCAAGUAGCUUAUUUUUGAAUGCUGUUGCUGCAAACCACCAUGGCCCUGGUAAUGUAGGCGGCAGUCAGGCAAGGUCACAUGGCAAUAUAAGUGCCAUAGAGAUGGCUGCUGCUAAAUCUGCUCAACAUAGGUUGAUGCGUGGAGUAUGGACUAAUGUGCGCUUUGGUGAUAUGCGUCGUGCUUUGGCAGCUUGCGAGAGAUUGAUCCUACUGAAUCACAAUCCCUGUGAGCUUAGGGACUAUGCUGCCCUUCUGUACCACUGUGGCUACUACAAAGAUUGCCUGCAGUACUUAACGUCGUACCAAAAUGCCAUGGUUGGGCAGCCCCGGACCAAUCCACUGGAGAUGUUGGAGGACGACGCAGUGAACACUCUCACGGCACGAGUAAACCUAAUUUUAGCAGAGGAUGGCUGGGACAGCCACAGACCUGCUGCAAGUUACUGGACCAAAAAUUCUGAGCCAUGGUAG